rnacentral:rRNA from 1 species
UACGUAGGGUGCAAGCGUUAAUCGGAAUUACUGGGCGUAAAGCGUGCGCAGGCGGCUUUGCAAGACAGAUGUGAAAUCCCCGGGCUUAACCUGGGAACUGCAUUUGUGACUGCAUGGCUGGAGUGCGGCAGAGGGGGAUGGAAUUCCGCGUGUAGCAGUGAAAUGCGUAGAUAUGUGGGGGAAUACCGAUGGCGAAGGCAGCCCCCUGGGAUAACACUGACGCUCAUGCACGAAAGCGUGGGGAGCAAACAGG